GAUGAACGCUGGCGGCGUGCCUAAUACAUGCAAGUCGAGCGAACGGACGAGAAGCUUGCUUCUCUGAUGUUAGCGGCGGACGGGUGAGUAACACGUGGAUAACCUACCUAUAAGACUGGGAUAACUUCGGGAAACCGGAGCUAAUACCGGAUAAUAUUUUGAACCGCAUGGUUCAAAAGUGAAAGACGGUCUUGCUGUCACUUAUAGAUGGAUCCGCGCUGCAUUAGCUAGUUGGUAAGGUAACGGCUUACCGAGGCAACGAUGCAUAGCCGACCUGAGAGGGUGAUCGCCCACACUGGAACUGAGACACGGUCCAGACUCCUACGGGAGGCAGCAGUAGGGAAUCUUCCGCAAUGGGCGAAAGCCUGACGGAGCAACGCCGCGUGAGUGAUGAAGGUCUUCGGAUCGUAAACCUCUGUUAUUAGGGAAGAACAUAUGUGUAAGUAACUGUGCACAUCUUGACGGUACCUAAUCAGAAAGCCACGGCUAACUACGUG
rnacentral:rRNA from 1 species